rnacentral:tRNA from 1 species
GGGCCUGUAGCUCAGCCUGGUUUAGAGCGCUGGUCUUAUAAGCCAGAGGUCCGGGGUUCAAAUCCCUGCAGGCCCA